UUUCUUUCGGGUAAAACCAAAGAUAGAUCGUGUAACAAAACGUAUACAUACUACAACAGGUAGUACGUAAAAAAUAAAAUUCAUGCAAUUCCAUGUUCCUACUUUUAGUAGCUUCACUGACUAAAUUAUAAAAGAAAAAAAAAUGGAGAAGAGAUACUAUAUUCCUUUUAAAGGUAGACUAGUUUUACAUGUUCUAAACUUUCGUGUUGUGGCCAAUAGAAGCAAGAAAAAGAAAGAAAAAGAUAUAACACACUUGAGACAUGUUAUUAUUCUUUUAAUUACUCUAUAUAUUACAUUAAUUCGAUAUAGACCUACUUUAUUUAGUAAGUUUUACGAAUUUGACCUAAACUAAUAUAUUCGGGUUCAUGUCACAUAGCACUGAGACAAUAGUAUUAUGCUGACUAAUUGAAAACCAAUUUUUUUUUUUUUUUGGUUUGGAAUCAUUACAAAAAAAAAUCAUGAUUGAUAUAUGAUUUUCUUUUGCAAAUCCCAAUAAAAAUCAGCACCACUAACUCUUUAUAAUAAUCCUAGUACGAAGACUCGUGUCAUGUUCUCAAUGGUUUUGGGUAUAAUAAGUCAAACUAUACACAAAGUUUGGCGUUUG
rnacentral:lncRNA from 1 species